rnacentral:rRNA from 1 species
GAUGAACGCUGGCGGCGUGCUUAACACAUGCAAGUCGAACGGAAAGGCCCAAGCUUGCUUGGGUGCUCGAGUGGCGAACGGGUGAGUAACACGUGGGUGAUCUGCCCUGCACUUUGGGAUAAGCCUGGGAAACUGGGUCUAAUACCGGAUAGGACCAUCGUUUAGUGUCGGUGGUGGAAAGUUUUUCGGUGUGGGAUGAGCUCGCGGCCUAUCAGCUUGUUGGUGGGGUAAUGGCCUACCAAGGCGUCGACGGGUAGCCGGCCUGAGAGGGUGUACGGCCACAUUGGGACUGAGAUACGGCCCAGACUCCUACGGGAGGCAGCAGUGGGGAAUAUUGCACAAUGGGCGCAAGCCUGAUGCAGCGACGCCGCGUGGGGGAGGACGGCCUUCGGGUUGUAAACUCCUUUCGCCAAGGACGAAGCGUUUUGUGACGGUACUUGGAGAAGAAGCGCCGGCUAACUACGUG